UAAUGGCCUACCAAGGCGACGACGGGUAGCCGGCCUGAGAGGGCGACCGGCCACACUGGGACUGAGACACGGCCCAGACUCCUACGGGAGGCAGCAGUGGGGAAUAUUGCACAAUGGGCGCAAGCCUGAUGCAGCGACGCCGCGUGAGGGAUGAAGGCCUUCGGGUUGUAAACCUCUUUCAGCAGGGAAGAAGCGCAAGUGACGGUACCUGCAGAAGAAGCGCCGGCUAACUACGUGCCAGCAGCCGCGGUAAUACGUAGGGCGCAAGCGUUGUCCGGAAUUAUUGGGCGUAAAGAGCUCGUAGGCGGUUUGUCGCGUCUGGUGUGAAAACUCAAGGCUCAACCUUGAGCUUGCAUCGGGUACGGGCAGACUAGAGUGCGGUAGGGGUGACUGGAAUUCCUGGUGUAGCGGUGGAAUGCGCAGAUAUCAGGAGGAACACCGAUGGCGAAGGCAGGUCACUGGGCCGCAACUGACGCUGAGGAGCGAAAGCAUGGGGAGCGAACAGGAUUAGAUACCCUGGUAGUCCAUGCCGUAAACGUUGGGCAGCUAGGUGUGGGGCUCAUUCCACGAGUUCCGUGCCGCAGCAAACGC
rnacentral:rRNA from 1 species